rnacentral:rRNA from 1 species
GAUGAACGCUGGCGGCGUGCCUAAUACAUGCGAGUCGAGCGAACGGACGAGAAGCUUGCUUCUCUGAUGUUAGCGGCGGACGGGUGAGUAACACGUGGAUAACCUACCUAUAAGACUGGGAUAACUUCGGGAAACCGGAGCUAAUACCGGAUGAUAUUUUGAACCGCAUGGUUCAAAAGUGAAAGACGGUCUUGCUGUCACUUAUAGAUGGAUCCGCGCUGCAUUAGCUAGUUGGUAAGGUAACGGCUUACCAAGGCAACGAUGCAUAGCCGACCUGAGAGGGUGAUCGGCCACACUGGAACUGAGACACGGUCCAGACUCCUACGGGAGGCAGCAGUAGGGAAUCUUCCGCAAUGGGCGAAAGCCUGACGGAGCAACGCCGCGUGAGUGAUGAAGGUCUUCGGAUCGUAAAACUCUGUUAUUAGGGAAGAACAUAUGUGUAAGUAACUGUGCACGUCUUGACGGUACCUAAUCAGAAAGCCACGGCUAACUACGUG